GAUGAACGCUGGCGGUAUGCCUAACACAUGCAAGUCGUACGAGGGUUUUUAACUCUAGUGGCGGACGGGUGAGUAACACGUGAGAAUUUGCCUUUAGGAGGGGGAUAACAAUCGGAAACGAAUGCUAAUACCCCAUAUGCUUUUGAGUGAAAUGGAUUUAUCCGCCUAAAGAGAAGCUCGCGGCUGAUUAGCUUGUUGGUAAGGUAAGAGCUUACCAAGGCGACGAUCAGUAUCUGGUUUGAGAGGACGAUCAGACACACUGGAACUGAGACACGGUCCAGACUCCUACGGGAGGCAGCAGUGGGGAAUUUUCCGCAAUGGGCGAAAGCCUGACGGAGCAAUACCGCGUGAGGGAAGACUGCCUAUGGGUUGUAAACCUCUUUUUCUAGGGAGGAAUAAAAUGACGUGUACCUGAAGAAUAAGCAUCGGCUAACUCCGUG
rnacentral:rRNA from 1 species